rnacentral:misc_RNA from 1 species
UCUCCGUAGGUGAACCUGCGGAGGGAUCAUUACAGAGUUCUCGCCCUCGCGGGUAGAUCUCCCACCCACUGUUAUCGUUACUGUGUUGCUUCGGCGGGCCGCCGGGCCCCGCUCGGCCGCCGGCUCCGGCUGGCGCGCGCCCGCCAGAGGCCCAGCAAACUCUGAAUGUUAGUGUCGUCUGAGUACUAUAUAAUAGUUAAAACUUUCAACAACGGAUCUCUUGGUUCUG